rnacentral:rRNA from 1 species
UGGGCGCAAGCCUGAUCCAGCAAUGCCGCGUGCAGGAUGAAGGCCUUCGGGUUGUAAACUGCUUUUGUACGGAACGAAAAGCCCUGGGUUAAUACCCUGGGGUCAUGACGGUACCGUAAGAAUAAGCACCGGCUAACUACGUGCCAGCAGCCGCGGUAAUACGUAGGGUGCAAGCGUUAAUCGGAAUUACUGGGCGUAAAGCGUGCGCAGGCGGUUUUGUAAGACAGAGGUGAAAUCCCCGGGCUCAACCUGGGAACUGCCUUUGUGACUGCAAGGCUAGAGUACGGCAGAGGGGGAUGGAAUUCCGCGUGUAGCAGUGAAAUGCGUAGAUAUGCGGAGGAACACCGAUGGCGAAGGCAAUCCCCUGGGCCUGUACUGACGCUCAUGCACGAAAGCGUGGGGAGCAAACAGGAUUAGAUACCCUGGUAGUCCACGCCCUAAACGAUGUCAACUGGUUGUUGGGUCUUAACUGACUCAGUAACGAAGCUAACGCGUGAAGUUGACCGCCUGGGGAGUACG